AUUGAACGCUGGCGGCAGGCCUAACACAUGCAAGUCGAACGAGUGGCGGACGGGUGCGUAAUGUCUGGGCAACUGCCCGAUGGAGGGGGAUAACUACUGGAAACGGUAGCUAAUACCGCAUACCAUCGGAUGUGCCCAGCGGGGAUUAGCUAGUAGGUGUGGUCAUGGCUCACCUAGGCGACGAUCCCUAGCUGGGCUGAGCGGAUGACCAGCCACACUGGAACGGAGAAACGGUCCAGACUCCUACGGGAGGCAGCAGUGGGAAAGAUUGCACAAGGGGCGCAAGCCUGAUGCAGACAUGCCGCGUGUAUGAAGAAGGCCUUCGGGUUGUAAAGUACUUGCAGCGAGGAGGCGUUACUCGCAGAAGAAGCACCGGCUAACUCCGUGCCAGCAGCCGCGGUAAUAC
rnacentral:rRNA from 1 species